rnacentral:misc_RNA from 1 species
AGCACGUGUGUUAAUUGAAACAAACAAACACUGUAACUGUUCGGUAUGUAGCGGACCUGGAAAAAGGGAGAUAAUGCUGCUUCCUGACAGUUGAGUUGCCUCCACGGAUGAAUGGAGUAGGCCUAGAACCAUGUGGAGGAUUUCAACGUUCACAUCCACAUUUAUAAAACAAGCAAUAUUCAAAGAGAUGAUAGGGCCAGGUGCCUUACUUAACAUCAACUUCAGUCAUAAAUCUAGUUCUCUUCCUCUUCUCACGCUCUAUACAAAGGAUGACUGCAGUCUCUGUGAAACAGCUAUGGCGGUAGUUAACAAGUAUAAGCACAGGUUCAAAUUUGAAGAAGUUGACAUCGAAGCCAAGGGAAACAAAAUCUGGUUUGAGAAAUACCGCUAUGAUAUUCCAGUUUUUCACCUCAAUGGUCAAUUUUUGAUGAAGCACAGAGCAGAUGAAAAACUUUUUGUGAAGUCAUUAGAACUAUAUGAACAAGGAAAACCCACCUGAAUGCCAAUAUAUUGGUGAAACAUUAUUUCGAAGAAUAUUAUUUCUGAAUGAGAUAAAUAUUAGAGACCUUGUAUGCAAAUACCACAUGGUCUGAAAGCAUGCAAUUGACAGGUGAUUUCUUGAGCCUGACCGUGUAAACUCUGGGGUGAGCUGAUGUCUUUGAGGUAGUGAGUCAUUAAUCUUUCCGAAUAUUUUUCAAUUAAAGAUUUCUACAGUAAAAACUGACCUGUGUGUUUUAUUGUUGUUUAUAAUUUUUUGAUAAUAGUUUUACAGAUUUUUAGUAGUUUUAUUGUUGUUUAUAAUUUGAUAAUAGUUUUACAGAUUUUAGUAGGCAUUAUGAAACAGAUCUGUCAUACACACUAUUAACACCCUAUUACAUUUUCAAUAAUGCACUAUACCCAGUACUAUUGUAUCAUCAACCAUAUGCUUCUUGCAAAGGGAGCAGUUUUUCCAGCAUUGUUCUAGCAUUGUUCUUUGUUCGUACCACCUAAGAUGAGGUCUGCAAUUGUGCCUGGGUAGAAGCAGGUGGUUGACUCUGAGAUCCUGCACGGUUUGCCACCGUUAUUUUUGAUUAUUUUUCUCAUUUCUCAAUUUAAUUAUACCUGUAUAUAAAAUGUAUAUAAAAUGUAUAAAUAAAAAUGUAGUAGUGAGAGUGGUAGUAAUAUAAUAGGAAGUGUUAAGCGCAGGAGCAUAGAUAUGCGCUACUGUAUAUUAUAUACCAUUAAUAAUAUAUUAUUUUGCAACACACAAAAAUUCAAGGUUCGACUAUAAUUUAUCAGCCUGAUUCAUGAGGUUUAAUCACAUCAUAGCACAAAUAUAUGUUUGCAUAGCAUGUCUGUAAUAAAUAUUUACUACUACAACACUUCAUAGAGAAUUAGAUCAAGAGAAUUGUUGCAUUGAUUUCUUAAACCUAAAAAAUAAUUGCGUUAACAUUAACUAUACAAUACUUUUAUCAGGUGGCAAUGUAAUUUAUUCUCAGGUGAAUUUUCAAACCUACUGGCCACAAGUAUGGGCAACAAAUGUUAAAAGUGCAACAGAUAUGUAAUAAUAAUAAGUACAGUGUUAUUGACCUUUCCACCUCAAUAUCUAAGUACAGUUAAGCUUGCCUAAGUCGACCUUAUUUUACAUGCCAAAUUGUUGUUUAUCUAAGUCAAACAAUUUUUCAAUGCUAUUUUGGAUUCGACUUAGGCAAGUUCAACUGUACAGUAUUACAUUUUAAAUUGACCAGUACAAUCACACACAGCUAUUAUACUAUGCAAGAUGGGACGAUUUGAAAUGUUACGGAACGAUGCUUUGAUUUCAAUCCCAUCUAUAGAGACUGAGAUAUCUGUAUAAGCAUACAGUAUUGUGAACACCCCCACAUGAAUGAGUGGAUCAGUCAGCCUUUACACAACUGUGCUACCAACCAUGCAUAAUUUGAAAAUAAACAAUUAA